UUGUACUUUGCUUCCCGUGCAUUCUCAAAUUUAUUCUCUUCUACCAGAAGCUAUUUUUGUCUGCUAUUUUUCUACUAAGUGCGACUGUGUUUCUCUGUCUUUGUUUCACUCCCUUGUGUACUUUUGGAGAUUGUUUGAGUUGCAUUUCGUGUUUUCCUCCCAUGUGUCCCAGUCCACCACUCUUAUUAACAAUUAUCUCUCUCACAGUGGACAUGCACCUACGAUACAAAUUUCAUACCCGCCAUGAUUUCCAAGUGGGAGAACUUGCAACAUAGCAGGGUGUUCAAACUACUUUUCUUCUCUGUAAGGAUGCACAAACUCAAAUCUGUCUAUGUCAGAAAGACAGGAUAAAAGCUGGACUUAUUCAAGAAAAGAUUUUCCAUACUCAUGCUUCCUGACAUGGUCAGUGGACCACUGUCCAGACGACUCUCCUCGCCCACUCUACAGUCUCUGCUGUGGUUCACCACCAGCUGGGGCUUCACCAGUCUUCAUCUUUCCUCUUAUUAGCACAGUCUCCCGCAGCAGUAUGCCUCCUCUGUUUUGUCUUAAACUGCUGGCCCCUGCUGGCGAGCAACCUUCCCUGGCUAAAUUCUCAUCUAUUUCCCAUGAAGUGUUACUGGACCUGCAAUAGAAAGAGGACACUUAGAAGGAGAGCAAAUGUCCAAAGGGGUGCAUGUGAAGCCCGUUGCAUAGGGCACCUGGACUAGGAUAUUUAGGGAAGUGUCCACCAGCAUCAUCGCAACCCUCCCACCACUACUGUGAUAAUGGAACAAGGGGGCGAAAGUGAUGUCCCUUGCAUGUUACAAUUAUUGUGAUUAUUAGUGACAAUUAAUGACACUUUAAGCCUGCUUUUGUAAUUGUUCUCAAUUUAUAUUUAUUAUCAAAGGUGUAAACACUGUGUGAAUAUUGUG